GGCGGUGCGCCUUAUGCAUGCAAGUCGAGCGAAGCUUUUCAGUAGUUUACUACAGAAAAUGACUGAGCGGCGAACGGGUGAGUAACGCGUGAGCAAUCUACCUUAGUUACAGGGAUAGCCCGAGGAAACUCGGAUUAAUACCUGAUAUUCUUUAUUUCUCGCAUGAGAAUAAAAGGAAAGGUCAGCCGAACUAAGAUGAGCUCGCGUUCUAUCAGCUAGUUGGUGAGGUAAAAGCUCACCAAGGCUACGACGGAUAGCUGGUCUGAGAGGACGAUCAGCCACACUGGGACUGAGACACGGCCCAGACUCCUACGGGAGGCUGCAGCAGGGAAUAUUGUGCAAUGAACGAAAGUUUGACACAGCGACACCGCGUGUGGGAUGACGGAUCUAGGUUUGUAAACCACUUUCAGGAGGGAAGAAAAUGACGGUACCUCCACAAGAAGCCCCGGCCAACUACGUGCCAGCAGCCGCGGUAAUACGUAGGGGGCGAGCGUUGUCCGGAUUUAUUGGGCGUAAAGAGCUCGUAGGCGGUUCAACAAGUCGGUCGUGAAAGUUCAGGGCUCAACUCUGAAAUGUCGAUCGAUACUGUUGUGACUAGGAUACGGUAGAGGUGAGUGGAAUUCCGAGUGUAGCGGUGAAAUGCGUAGAUAUUCUGAGGAACACCAAUAGCGAAGGCAGCUCACUGGGCCGCUAUCGACGCUGAGGAGCGAAAGCUA
rnacentral:rRNA from 1 species